ACCAACCAGCCGAAAAAACUAGCGACCCACCUCCUUACCUUAUCCGAACUCCUCCACGCACCUACUUCACCUUCUUCCCAAUCAACGGCAACCCGGCCGAACUCCCGCUUCAGCUUCUUCCUGCCGGAGGCAGCUACUCCCCGGCGCGUUCCCAAACUCCUGCCCCGGCUUCUUCCCGUCGGCGAACUCCGUGGCGAGGCUCCCAGAUUCCCGCCAUGGCUUCUUCCCAUGCGGUGGCCGUUAACUCCCCGGCACAGGUCCCGAACUCCUGCUCCGGCUUCAUCUGCAUCGGCGGCGGCCAUGUACUCGCAGGAGCUCACUCAAUUUGCUCAGUAUCGCCGUGCGACCGGACGGAGCUCCUGAUCUCCGCUAUACGCACGCGUCCAUGGCAUUCACCACGCACUGUGCUCCUACUGCCAUUUCAUCUCACUGUCGUGAGAAGGCUCCUGUGCCACUCCUCCGCUUCAUCCUGGUACCUAGUAGGCGUUUACUUUCUUUUCCCACCAAUUCAUGUUUCUUAUGCUAAAAAUAGUAGAUGGAAGAUGCAGUAUGCAUUGUUGAUGUGUGAUGCUGAUUAGGCAAAGAGAAGUUCAUUCCAUGUGUAUGGAAAAUUCACCUUUUAUUUUCAUGUGAGUUCACUUCUUCUCCAUUGUUCAUGCUUCCCCUACAUGACCUGCAGGACCGCGCCACCAGCGCCUUCGCGGGAGUUCACCGGUUUGUAUAUAUUUGAUAACUCGCCACUGCAAUUUCUGUGUUUGCCGGUUCGUUCGCUCUCGCUAAUGAAUUCUCACCUAUAGCAUAUGCCCUCUACAUAUUUGUUGUUAUUCCUAAGAGAGAUUAAAUUAAACACUCUCCGAUGUUUCAUCUUAUUUGUUGUGGAGUUCACUUCAAUCUACGAAGGAAAUCCAUUUAGUUUGGUCAGAGAAGUUUUAUUAGUUCACAUAGUAAGUUUGCAUAUUUAUGUUAGCACCACCUCAGUCUAGGUAAGUUCAUCUCCCCCCUCCUCUUUCGUGCAGGAAGUUGAGAAGCCUCUACAGUGAUUGAUGCUAUGGAAAAUUAAUUCUGAACUACUACAUGGAUACAACUGAACCACAACGUGAGUAGCUUGCUAGCGCUGCAGAAUCUGCAGUUUAGAAAGAGUGCGCAGUUUAGAGAGUUAAUGUUCAGAGAACUCAUUUUUACGGGGAAAGAUCAAUAAGUCCAUGAUUAAAGAUAGAAUAUGGUGUUUAAUAAGUUCACUUCUAAUAAUCUGUGAAGCUCACUUCUCCAAAUCUGUGAAGCUCACUUCUCUUAAUUUGUGAAGUUCACAUCGACUGCUAUUUUCAUUUUAUAUAUUCCUGCUAGAUAGAAUAUUUGUGAAGUUUGUGGCUGCGGGAUGGAUGAUCCGGUAAUACUCCAUGGGGAUUUCAACGCUAAAACUUAAGUACCCACAAGCAGCAUUGCAACGAGCUGGGAGUUCUUGCGGCUGGCUCCUGCGGUUGUCACUGCAAGUCAUGCUCUUCAUUGCAUGAAGCAGCCGAGCACAAGUGUGCACAACAGGAAUUAAGGUACGGAGAUGACGAGCUCACUUUUCCUAAUCCGCGGAGUUCACUUCUCCUAAUUCGUGAAGAAAUGUAGCUACACUGGGGGUUCACUCGUGUAUCCUCAACAGUCCAGCGGGCUUCUCGAAGGAGUCCAGCACACGACCGCACCUCUCAGCAAUCUAGUGUGUGUUGCUGGAAAGUCCACCUGCAGCUCCGUGGAUACUCAGGCGGACCGCUGCUAGAUAACUUCACCCACAUCAUGGAAGCAAUAAUGUCUUAGGAGUCCACAGCUUUGGCGAGUCUCUCUUGCCCAGAUGCAGAAAACUAGAAUUUCGGAUUUAAUUUUGGAGCACUGCAGUUCACAUCGGCGUUGGCAAAUAUCCAUCACCUACCUCCGCAUCGGCGUUGGUGAACAUUCGUGCACGCCAAGAUCCCGGCUAUGAAGUUCACAUCUUUUUUCAGCGUAAGCUUACUGUGUGAGGGGAAAGAAGUUCAGUAAAAACUACAUCAGCUAAUACAUUGUGGUACAAUUCAUCAUUGCUCAUUGUAUGCUGUUGGAUGCUACUGCUGAUGUGUUGGUGACACUUA